ensembl:lncRNA
GGGCUAUCCUGUAUAUUUCAGCUUAUAGGUAAUAGCUGUUUCAGGAAGGCUCAGAGUCAGCAUGACUCAGCACAGAGCUCAAUGUUGGGGGUAAGAAAGCGGAUCAACAUGGAGUCAGCAUUUAGGGAGUAUCGGUGAGACCUACCUCCUUCUAAGCCAAAAACUACCUAGCACCCGAAAAAAUUUGUCCGGUUCCUCCUGGAUUAAAGAGAACAGGAUUUAAUAAGCAUCAAAGUCGAAGGCCUCAGGGUGCUUCACCUGCAAUUGGGAGUGAAGGGAGAAUGCUCUGCUCCCAGUCCACCUGCUGCUUUGCAGUGACUUCUUGGGCCAAGAAGCAUAGUGAAGGGUGACCCACUUGGGUUUCCAGAGCCAGAAGGAUGCUGUGGCUCGGGGCCUCACACGUGGUUCGGCUUCCACAGCUGUAAUUUAGAGGAUGUUCAACAUCAGCCUGUGGAAAAGUGCACAUGCUUGCAGUAUCUUAGAAAAAGUGGAAGGCACUGCCUACAGAGCCCUUGAGCUUGCUGACGUGUCACCACACGGAUUUUCUGAUCAUCCUGACAACAGAGAGGACUACAUUUUUAUCUCGUCUUGGAGUGCACUUGGAAACAUUGGAACCAACCCACCUUAGUCUAAAAUGAGGUCAACCACUAUCUACAUGGGCUUACUCUGGUGGCUCAGUGGUAAAAAACACACCUGCCAAUGCAGGAGACCUGGGUUCGAUCUCUGGUCCAGGAAGAUAUCCCAGAGAAGGAAAUGGCAACCCACUCCAGUAUUCUUGCCUGGGAGGUCCCGUGAUCAGAGGAGCCUGGCAGGCUACAGUCUGUGCUGUGCUGUGCUUAGUUGCUCAGUUGUGUCUGACACUUUUCGACCUCAUGGACUGUAGCUGCUAGGCUCCUCCAUCCAUGAGAUUCUCCAGGCAAGAAUACUGGAGUGGGUUGCCAUGCCCUUCUCCAGGGGAUCUUCCUGAUACAGAGAUCGAAAUGGGGUCUCCUGCAUUGCAGGUGGAUUCUUUACCAUCUGAGCUAUCAGCAAAACCCAGGAUACAGUCUGUGGGGUUGCAACACAGUCGGCGGUGACUUAGUGACUAAGCAACAACAGCAGCAAACUCUCCACAUAUCUGACCUCUUUCUGGUUCUGGCUUUGGUUUAAAAGGGGGCAGUCGGGGUCCUGCUGGACCUUUCUAUGUAUGGUAAUACGAAUCAAUUAAAGGAAAUUUUUUUUAUUGUAUUAGUUUUGCCAAAUAUCAAAAUGAUAUGAUGAUGAUAAAGGAAAAUAUUUUGAAUGGAUAGCUGGUAAAAAAAUCAGAUAAUUUUCCAUUUAAGCACAGAUUACACAGGAAGCAGAUUAUUGGCUUGAGGUUUUGAAGGUAGGAUGAAACCAACACAUUAGAAAAUAGAUUAUUGAAGUAUUUUAAUCUUGAGGUGCGUAUAAAUCUUGGGCAUCUUAAUACAUUUAUAUAAAGAGACAGAUGUCUGUUUGGUCUGUAAUUCUAAUGCAAACAUUUGACUAUGUGAAAUGCUUACAAGCCAGCUGUUUUUUAC